rnacentral:sRNA from 1 species
GAUUGCUCUGAUGAAUGAGAUCAUUCCUCAUUGGAUUUUUAAGCUCUGGACUUACAAGCGCUAAACAUAAACAACAACAAGAAUAGUAUCGUGGUAGCCUUGCCUAUGAGACAGCCUGCAGUUUUUUAAUUUGUCUGAGUCCUGGACCUCAGCCUAGAUGUAACCUUGCUCUGUUGCUGUCCUCUAGAGGCCUGGCACUGUGGACUCGGUGUUGUCUAGCAGAGAGGCCUUGAGGAAGUGGCCCAGCAGUGUGCUUGCAUUUCCAAGAUAUCUCAUCACCCAAAAGACUUCGAGAUAGACAAGCUUUGUUCCCUGCCAAAGUGACAAAUGUCAGCUUGCUGGAAAAGUUUGAACGAAGUGAGAGUGGUGGGAAGAUUAUGACCCCUGAAAGCUUAUCAUCUCCAAGUUGUCUGAAACAUGACAGUGAGAUGAAGCCCCAAACAUCUCCAGCUUGCCAGGAUCAUAAUAAGGCAGGACAGGAAAUGUGCUAUGUAUGUUUGCAACGAGCACAACGAAAUUCCCCGUUGUACUACAGUGAGGAAAGGAGGAGAGAGAUAGAAGAUGAGAGACUCAUACAGCAGUAUCAG